rnacentral:tRNA from 1 species
GGCCCUCUGGCGGAAUGGCAGACGCGCUCGACUCAAAAUCGAAUGCCGAAAGGCGUCCCGGUUCGACCCCGGGGAGGGCUACCA